rnacentral:lncRNA from 1 species
AUCAGAGUAUUUUCCAAUGAGUCAACUCUUCUCAUGAGGUGGCCAAAGUACUUGAGUUUCAGCUUUAGCAUCAUUCCCUCCAAAGAAAUCUCAGGGCUGAUCUCCUUUAGAAUGGACUGGUUGGAUCUCCUUGCAGUCCAAGGGACUCUCAAGAGUCUUCUCCAACACCACAGUUCAAAAGCAUCAAUUCUUCAGCACUCAGCUUUCUUCAUAGUCCAACUCUCACAUCCAUACAUGACCACUGGAAAAACCAUAGCCUUGACUAGACGGACCUUUGUUGGCAAAGUAAUAAUGUCUCUGCUUUUGAAUAUGCUAUCUAGGUUGGUCAUAACUUUCCUUCCAAGGAGUAAGCGUCUUUUAAUUUCAUGGCUGCAGUCACCAUCUGCAGUGAUUUUGGAACCCAGAAAAAUAAAGUCUGCCAGUUUCCACUGUUUCCCCAUCUAUUUGCCAUGAAGUGAUGGGGCCAGAUGCCAUGAUCUUCGUUUUCUGAAUGUUGAUCUUUAGGCCAAAUUUUUCACUAGGAUCCUCGUCAUAUGUAAUGUCUAAUUAUUUAUUAUUAUUUGUAAUUGUUUAUUGCCAAUGUAUUAAAUUAUUAAAUGCCAGUUUAUAUUCAGCAAACUUGCAAACUCUAAAAAAAUUCUUUUGAA